rnacentral:rRNA from 1 species
GUAACACGUAGUCAACCUGCCCUGGAGACAUGGAAAACCCCGGGAAACUGGGAUUAAUCCGUGAUAGGUCACCUCAUCUGGAAGGAGAGAUGGCUUAAAGGGGUGCGAGAGCUUCUUUCUUGCAUUCGCUCCAGGAUGGGACUGCGGCCGAUCAGGCUGUUGGCGGUGUAAUGGACCACCAAACCUGUAACCGGUACGGGCCUUGAGAGAGGGGGCCCGGAGAUGGACACUGAGAGAAGGGUCCAGGUCCUACGGGGCGCAGCAGGCGCGAAACCUUCGCAAUGCGCGAAAGCGUGACGGGGUUAAUCCGAGUGGUCCCCGCUGAGGGGAUCUUUUGUUGGCUGUAAAAAGGCCGAUGAAUAAGGGGAGGGCAAGUCUGGUGUCAGCCGCCGCGGUAAUACCAGCUCCUCGAGUGGUCGGGGCGAUUAUUGGGCCUAAAGCAUCCGUAGCCGGUUCUGUAGGUCCUCUGUCAAAUCCAACGGCUUAACCGUUGGCCCGCAGAGGAUACCGCAGGACU